GUCCUUUGUUUUCAGCUGAAUCUGGAAAUGCUUCCUGUAGUUAACCUGUAUAUAAAUGCAGUUUGAAAUAGGCCAAGAGACUUGGAAUACCUCUCCUCAUUGUUGGAGACUCUUGGGUUUUAAAUGACAGGAGAGGUGAUAUCAAUCAGCAUUUAGCAUUGUUAAUUCAACAUACAACUGGAAUUAGUCACAAACGUGAGUCCACUGGAAGUUCCAGAACACAGAGUCUACAUAGAACUAUUGUGAUUUACAAGUACCUGGGCAUUACUGAACUUGACGAAACAGAACAUUUGCUAAUUUGCCUACUAGCAAGACUACAUUUCACAGCAGUUAAUUGCCAUAUUCUCCUCUAACGUGGUAUGCUGCACCAAAUCAAAGGGCAAACCUGGAAGAGAAAGGAAAGCAUCAACCUGCUAGUGGAAAGCUAAGGAGAGAGAAAGAGGAGACCUGCAGCAGAAAGGAAUAUCGUGCCUGAAGACCACCCCCUGUUUUCAGUGCCAACCCCGCAAAGUUCAGCAGGUCAAACGAACCCCAGCGGAAAGAGGUCAUUGGCUUGAUCAUUUUAAAAAGACGAUAGACUAGAAAAUCAGCCUGAGCUUGAGACCAGCCCAAAUCAGAGAGUUUCACAGAACUGCCUGAUUUUCAGCAGAAAA